GGAAGUAAAAAGUCGUAACAAGGUUUCCGUAGGUGAACCUGCGGAAGGAUCAUUACCGAGUUCUCGGGCUUCGGCUCGACUCUCCCACCCUUUGUGAACGUACCUCUGUUGCUUUGGCGGCUCCGGCCGCCAAAGGACCUUCAAACUCCAGUCAGUAAACGCAGACGUCUGAUAAACAAGUUAAUAAACUAAAACUUUCAACAACGGAUCUCUUGGUUCUGGCAUCGAUGAAGAACGCAGCGAAAUGCGAUAAGUAAUGUGAAUUGCAGAAUUCAGUGAAUCAUCGAAUCUUUGAACGCACAUUGCGCCCCUUGGUAUUCCGGGGGGCAUGCCUGUUCGAGCGUCAUUACAACCCUCAAGCUCUGCUUGGAAUUGGGCACCGUCCUCACUGCGGACGCGCCUCAAAGACCUCGGCGGUGGCUGUUCAGCCCUCAAGCGUAGUAGAAUACACCUCGCUUUGGAGCGGUUGGCGUCGCCCGCCGGACGAACCUUCUGAACUUUUCUCAAGGUUGACCUCGGAUCAGGUAGGGAUACCCGCUGAACUUAAGCAUAUCAAUAAGCGGAGGA
rnacentral:rRNA from 1 species